rnacentral:other from 1 species
CGGUUACUGCUCUGUGCGUGCAAGGCCCUUUUCCAGUGGCCGAUAAGCAUUUCCGAGGGGGCUGGCUCUGUCGAGAUCCUGGUCUCGUUACCCGGCUCCCACCUGAUUUAGUCAGGCUCUCGGGAAAUUCACGCCUUCACGGCUGCUGCGGUUUCCGC